CACCCUCCGCCAGUCCUCACUCUUCUGCUUCGCACCAGGCCUUUCGAUAGAAUCGCUGCAAAAUGGAGGUCGAUUUGACUUGGUUGAAGACAUCGUCUACACGUCAUGAAAGUCUUAACGUACGAUGCAGGUGUCUUGCAAGCUGAGAGCAUCCAUGAAAAAACUUGGAGCAAAUGAGGUGUGCCUACUUUAAUGGUUUGAGCUGAAGAUUUCACCAAUGAUGGGUCAUUGGAGCAGGUGGUCCUUCAUCUUUGGCUCAUGUCUCCAUUUACUUGGCAUCACUUGAUGGAAUAAUAUGACUUUCAGUCUAAAAGGCCAAGUGAAGGUGAGUUUAAAGUACAAGGAUCCUUAAUAAGCACUUUUCAGUGCCAUUUUGAAGUGUCAAAAUGGCUGCUUUGAAAAAGGCCUAUACUGCUUGAUACAAUGAUGAUAGCAUAGUUCAGCAGAUUAAACCAUGAAGAUUAUAAGCCCUGUCUUGCGCUCCUAUCUGAUGUAUCAACUGCAUUAUCAUACCUGUUGAGAUUGCAGUGAGACGCGGAGAAAAGUGUGAAGUGGUGCUCAUCGCAAUAAAACAUCUUUGAUGGGGCGUGUCGCGGCUCGGCCAAUCAGCGUUCAGAUGUCUUCAGCGUUUGGUGGUUUAGGUUAGCUUGAAUGUUAGCCCGCUAACGCUGCACGGUGUAGCGAUGCUAACAAAGUACCCGUACGUUAAACACGAUGUGAUUUAGCAUAUUUUUAGUAUCGAUACUUAAUUAAAAGAGCGAUCAGAGCGCACGCGCUGCUCCGUGUCGAGCUGUCUGCGCACACUGCGCUGCGCACACUGCGCUGCGCAGCGCUCACAGCGAGAGAAGUGGUGCAGCUUUAGAGACCGACUUCGGCUUAAAGAAUAAAAAGAUGCCAGAAGUGAAAUGUUUCAAUCUGUAAAGUUGUGUAACUCUCCAGCUGCUCAUCCUGAUGAACUGUGUAUCAUCUGGUCAGAGACUAACGGCCUCAUAAUGUAUAAUCAAUGCUCUGAUUGAACCAUGUAGUUUCAUUCAUAUCUGGCUGUAUUAAUACUAAUAUUACUGCCAUUUGUUAGGUGUUGAACAAGUUUUGGUAAAAAGUGAUCCAUGCAGAUGUUUUAUUUAUUACUAUUAUAGAUAAAUAUACCAGUCUCGUAUUUAUGGUACCAUAUUGUAUUGAAUUCUGGUAUCGGGUAUCAUGAUAUUUAUGGCAGGUAUGUAAUAUGUAUAGAAGUUAUAUGAGUAUCGUGACAAACGGGUAGAGACGGAACAGAUUCAGGGAAAAGUCCAUGAGGACUGUUCAGGCAAAAAAAAGGAAGUUGGUUCAUGAAUGACUUUAACCAUAUUAUAUAUAAUGACAAUGUAUAUUUGUUAUUACUAUCAUUACAGGGCUGAGUCAGAGCGGAGGACCUUUUGUUCUUAAACUGUUUAUUAUCAUUAUUUAGAUUUGUGGUCAGAACAAUAAAAUGACUAGUUGUGGUUCUAAAAGCUUUGAGGCUUCAGACAAUGUGGAUGUGGUGACAACAACAACAAGUCAACUACACCCCCCCCCUCACCUUUUUCACCCCUCAUGAGUUUGCAGGUAUGAUCAUAACUAACUAUAGUACAUGAGUAUUUAUGAAAAUAGGGACGGUUUGAGUUUAUUCACAUGCAAUUUCUAUAUCUAAAGUGCAUUUUUCCUUCAGGUUGAAGACGUCUACUAAUGGUGAACGUCUUAACAUACUAUGCUGGUGUCUUGCAAGCUGAGAGCAUCCAUGAAGUAACUUGAAGCAAAUGAGGUGUGCCUACUUUAAUGGUUUGAGCUGAAGAUUUCACCAAUGAUGGGUCAUUGGAGCAGGUGGUCCUUCAUCUUUGGCUCAUGUCUCCAUUUACUUGGCAUCACUUGAUGGAAUAAUAUGACUUUCAGUCUAAAAGACCAAGUGAAGACGCGUAAAACAUUCCUGCUGGAACAUUCCAUCCCUGUGUUGGUGAAAACUAGAUUGUGAAAAUCAAGAGGACAAGAUGUCACACAGGCACGGUUGUGAUCGUUGACUUUGGAGGACAGUUUGCAUGAACACGGUCAGCUGAGGAAACUGCUGGAUCUGUCAGACUGACUAUGAAGCCAUGAAGUCCUUGCUGAGGCCCAGUGGAUAUCAAGAACAUGUCUAUGUUGGGCUAACAUUGUGGAAAUAAAAUAUCAAAAGAAAAGCUU